rnacentral:rRNA from 1 species
UACGGGGGGAGCAAGCGUUGUUCGGAUUUACUGGGCGUAAAGGGCGCGUAGGCGGCCACCGCAAGUCGACUGUGAAAUCUCCGGGCUUAACCCGGAAAGGUCAGCCGGUACUGCGGGGCUAGAGUGCAGAAGGGGCAACUGGAAUUCUCGGUGUAGCGGUGAAAUGCGUAGAUAUCGAGAGGAACACCUGCGGCGAAGGCGGGUUGCUGGGCUGACACUGACGCUGAGGCGCGAAAGCUAGGGGAGCGAACGGG